rnacentral:rRNA from 1 species
CGGAGGGAUCAUUACCGAGUUUACAACUCCCAAACCCCUGUGAACAUACCAAUUGUUGCCUCGGCGGAUCAGCCCGCUCCCGGUAAAACGGGACGGCCCGCCAGAGGACCCCUAAACUCUGUUUCUAUAUGUAACUUCUGAGUAAAACCAUAAAUAAAUCAAAACUUUCAACAACGGAUCUCUUGGUUCUGGCAUCGAUGAAGAACGCAGCAAAAUGCGAUAAGUAAUGUGAAUUGCAGAAUUCAGUGAAUCAUCGAAUCUUUGAACGCACAUUGCGCCCGCCAGUAUUCUGGCGGGCAUGCCUGUUCGAGCGUCAUUUCAACCCUCAAGCCCCCGGGUUUGGUGUUGGGGAUCGGCGAGCCCUUGCGGCAAGCCGGCCCCGAAAUCUAGUGGCGGUCUCGCUGCAGCUUCCAUUGCGUAGUAGUAAAACCCUCGCAACUGGUACGCGGCGCGGCCAAGCCGUUAAACCCCCAACUUCUGAAUGUUGACCUCGGAUCAGGUAGGAAUACCCGCUGAACUUAAGCAUAUCAAUAAGCGGAGGAAAAGAAACCAACAGGGAUUGCCCUAGUAACGGCGAGUGAAGCGGCAACAGCUCAAAUUUGAAAUCUGGCUCUCGGGCCCGAGUUGUAAUUUGUAGAGGAUACUUUUGAUGCGGUGCCUUCCGAGUUCCCUGGAACGGGACGCCAUAGAGGGUGAGAGCCCCGUCUGGUUGGAUGCCAAUCUCUGUAAGUUCCUUCGACGAG